CACUUAUUCUACAAUGUAGAACAUAGUAAAAAAUAAAGAAACCCUUGAAUGAGUAGGUGUGUCCAAACAGAGUGCAAGUGAGAGAGAGGUGACUUGCUGCACAUUUGCAUAUGUUUCAUAUCACUAUGAGAUGUUCAUAUCUAUAUUUUUUUCCAUUUGAUUUGAACGUGUAAUAUUGAAUUAUUUAAGAUGGCCCUCAGAUUAGGCAAGUUUAUAAUUAAAGAGUUGUUUCACUGUCAGGUGGAUUGAAAUGUGUUGUUACUGCAUUGGUUUGCUUGAGCUGUGUUCCCAAAUGAGAAGCAGAGUAUAAAGACAUGCACAGGUGCCAUUUCUUACAUAGGGUUAGAGAUGUUAUUUGCAUACCGAUCUGUUUGUUUUCUACCCUUUUAAAAUACUAAGCACUGUAUCAUACAAAGUCAACAUUGCUGCUAUUUCAGAAAAUGUCACAUGCAAGCACCUAGAGUAGCUGAGCAGGUUGUACUUCACUUUGGAAGGGUAUGCUAAACAGUGUGUAAGGUCUGGUCUUUGGGAAUGUUGAUCUUUUUAUUUUGGUAAUUAAAUAUUUUUAUUAAAAUACA